CCAUGACCUCGUUGAAACACCGGAUCCCGUACAAUCAACGAAGUUAAGCAAUAUCAAGCCUGGUCUGUACCUGGAUGGGUGACCGAUUCGGAAUACCAGGU